GUUGAAACAUCGCUUCCUGUCCAAUCACCGAAGUUAAGCAGCAUCGAGCCUGGUCAGUAACCAGAUGAGUGACUACAUGGGAAUACCAGGUG